rnacentral:rRNA from 1 species
ACGCUCGACACCUACGGGAGCAGCGGUAGGGAAUCUUCCACAAUGGGCGCAAGCCUGAUGGAGCAACACCGCGUGAGUGAAGAAGGGUUUCGGCUCGUAAAGCUCUGUUGUUGGAGAAGAACGUGCGUGAGAGUAACUGUUCACGCAGUGACGGUAUCCAACCAGAAAGUCACGGCUAACUACGUGGCAGCAGCCGCGGUAAUCUGAGCGGGCUGGCAAGGC